GGAAUGGCCACCAGCAGAUCUAGGCCUUGCCGUAGAGAAAAUUAUUUGGGAGAUCAGGAGGUCCCUGUCAGAGAUCUCCCUCUGCUCAGGGCAAUGUUGCCCCUGAUUCUUCAGGAGGGGAGCCUGUGAACACAGCUGCAGCAGAGGAAGCUUCAUCUGGCACCGAGAGCUGCAGGAACAAUUCCCAGGAGCCCAAGGAGCCUGAUGCCAUCUGACCAACAUCUCCAGGAGGGCUGCCCUGCAUGGCAGGAAGAGACAGGGGAGAGCCUGUGACCAUCGGGCAGGUAGAAGUCCUCUGUUUGUAGAUAUGUUUAGAGAUUUCUAUGGUUCUAUUUAUUAGUGGUUAUAGUUCCAUUUAUAGAUGAUAGUGUUCUGUUUAUAUGGGCAUAUAUUGAUAGAUCUGUAUAGUUAAAUGUGAAUAUGUAUACAG